UACGAAGGUCCCAAGCGUUAUCCGGAUUUAUUGGGUUUAAAGGGUGCGUAGGCGGGUUAUUAAGUCAGUGGUGAAAGCUCCAUGCCUAACAUGGAAAUUGCCAUUGAUACUGAUGAUCUUGAGUACAUUUGAAGUGGGCGGAAUGCGUCAUGUAGCGGUGAAAUGCUUAGAUAUGACACAGAACACCGAUUGCGUAGGCAGCUCACUAAACUGUAACUGACGCUGAGGCACGAAAGCGUGGGGAGCAAACAGG
rnacentral:rRNA from 1 species